rnacentral:rRNA from 1 species
GAUGAACGCUGGCGGCGUGCUUAACACAUGCAAGUCGAACGGUGAAGGCGGAGCUUGCUCUGCUGGAUCAGUGGCGAACGGGUGAGUAACACGUGAGCAAUCUGCCCCUGACUCUGGGAUAAGCGCUGGAAACGGCGUCUAAUACUGGAUACGAGCUGCGAAGGCAUCUUCAGCAGCUGGAAAGAACUUCGGUCAGGGAUGAGCUCGCGGCCUAUCAGCUUGUUGGUGAGGUAACGGCUCACCAAGGGGUCGACGGGUAGCCGGCCUGAGAGGGUGACCGGCCACACUGGGACUGAGACACGGCCCAGACUCCUACGGGAGGCAGCAGUGGGGAAUAUUGCACAAUGGGCGAAAGCCUGAUGCAGCAACGCCGCGUGAGGGACGACGGCCUUCGGGUUGUAAACCUCUUUUAGCAGGGAAGAAGCGAAAGUGACGGUACCUGCAGAAAAAGCGCCGGCUAACUACGUG